ACCUUCAUCCUCAUGAAAUCAAAAACCCCAAAUUCUCUGCAACUUCUUUCCGAUGCUGGAGACAAGGCUGACAUCGGAGAUAACUAAACCAAAAGCCGACGUCGAUACCAUAGAUAAGGUUGAAGAAAAAGGAUGAUGUUGUUGCUUCGUCAACUUUUGGGUUUUUGGGAAGCUCAAGAUGGACUCUCGGAUGUUACGAUUUAGAAGUUGUUUUAAUGUUUUGGUCGUGUUUGAUUUUUUUUUUGUUUUUUUAGAAAGUUUAGGUUGUUUGAAACUUGAUUGUAUAGAUUUAUUGUUAAGUUGGACUUGGGCCGUGUGUGGCUUUAAGUCUAGAAUAUGUUGUUUUAUAAUUUCUGGUUUAGCUCAUGCUCGGGGCCUUAUUAGGUUCUAAUUGUUAGACCAUAGCUAAUGGUUUGGGGUUGGUGUCUUCCUUGGGGUAUAUCCCGGGAAGCCUAAUGUCCGUAGGUUGUAAAUAUUUUGUUAUUAUCAAAAUUUACUAGGGCGUUGUCCCCUUUUACAUAAUA